GCGGUGAGCAUGUGGUUAAUUCGAAGCAACGACGAAGAACCUUACCAGGCCUUGACAUGCAGAGAACUUUCCAGAGAUGGAUUGGUGCCUUCGGGAACCCUGACACAGGUGCUGCAUGGCUGUCGUCAGCUCGUGUCGUGAGAUGUUGGGUUAAGUCCCGUAACGAGCGCAACCCUUGUCCUUAGUUACCAGCACGUUAUGGUGGGCACUCUAAGGAGACUGCCGGUGACAAACCGGAGGAAGGUGAGGAUGACGUCAAGUCAUCAUGGCCCUUACGGCCUGGGCUACACACGUGCUACAAUGGUCGGUACAAAGGGUUGCCAAGCCGCGAGGUGGAGCUAAUCCCAUAAAACCGAUCGUAGUCCGGAUCGCAGUCUGCAACUCGACUGCGUGAAGUCGGAAUCGCUAGUAAUCGUGAAUCAGAAUGUCACGGUGAAUGCGUUCCCGGGCCUU
rnacentral:rRNA from 1 species